CUCGCAGUGUUGUCAGUAGAAGGCGCGGCUCUCCCUUUUGAUUCAAGGACAGAGAUACGGAGGCAGUCAACAUGGGAGCUUCAAACUUUUAAAGAACGAUGGAACAGAGCGGUUGAGGAAGACAAGAACUGGGUCGACCGGUCUUCGUCGACAAGGACCGUAUGGUAAUACCGGAGGUUUAAACGGAGUAGUGUGAUUCGAGUUUACUGCAGAGCAUGGUGAGAGACUACUAAAUAAACAAUACAGUUUGUAAUGGUAUCAGUUUAUAUAUAGAGAAGUUUUAAAUAUAUGUUAAUAUUUAUUUUACACUCAAUUUUGAUUAGUGUAGUUUUCAUUAUGGGUCAAUUUGCUGAAUAUUCAUAGCAGACCCAUUAAUAAAGAAUAUAGCCAUUGCACAGUA